UUAACAGAAGAAAAGUUUGCCUUGUCAAAUAUGUAACCCGGACUUCAAUUAAGUAGUUUUCCAGGUCUGUGGUGAUUCCUCCGUGGAGGACGCCGUGGAACUGGCUACAGCACUAAUGGAGGAAGAUGGAGUUGAGGUCCUGCUCCCAAGGGCAGAACAUCUUGUCUGGUGCAACUCAGAGGAGGAACUCUGGAUUUUCUAGGGUCAUCUUCUUUGUUUUGUACUAAUGGCGCUGAUGCACAGAGCCAGUGAUGCGCUGAAGUUUUACACAAAGAGCUGAAUAUGUUAUAUGAAUGUUAUGUGAAUGACAAUAUGUCAAAAAGUGAACCAAAUGGAUAUCCCCUUUUUGGUUUCUGUGGCUUGAUUUAUGUUGGUCGGGAGACCAACAGAUUAAAAUCAUUCCUUUAAAUAUUUAAAAAAGAAAAAAAGAAAGAAAAAAUGUAACCAUAAAUGUAAUAUGAACAAUUACAAUAAAAACGUCUUUAGACAAGUCACUACUGCAGCUUUCACUUUACUGAGAAACUGAAACUGAUGAGGAGAGGGAGGAGUUUUUGUAGAGUAUUUAAGCGAAAGGAUACAGAGAUCGCUCCUUUCUAUCCUGCAGACUCCCUUGUCUGAAAUGGAGCGGAGAUGAUCUGCUUGUAUGCUGUGAUCUAGUAUGCAGUCCGCUACUAGAUGACUGCAUACGAGUUGAGACGUCACGCUGCCUAAGGAUCUCUUUUAGGCCUUAGGCCAGUGCUUGCGUUUAUUAUUUUAUUUUGAGGAGGAGAGGAGGAGAACCCAACCGCCAAGGGAUUCGGGCACUCGGGUCCGCUGCCCUGUUCUAGUGCAUUCUUUGGCAACACUGGAUCUCCGGCCGGGGUUCAGCGGACCUGCAGUGAACAGCGCCAGUCUAUGGCCUGCUGACGAAGCACCAGAAACUAGAAGCUACCGCACAAACAUGAACAAAGAAGCCGACUUUACCCUUAACUCCCCCCCACCCUUUUUACCUUUGGUCGGCUUCUGGUUGUCUGUUGCUUGGUUGGUAGGCUGUGGGGAUGGCCUGCUGUAAAAACAACCAGUUUUUUAUUUUUUUAUUAAAGGCUAACUGCAACUCUUUUCUGAAAAAAAAAAAAAAAAAUCAAUAAAAAUAGAAAAA